rnacentral:rRNA from 1 species
GUAGGAACCUACCCCUUGGCGGGGAAUAACCAUUUGAAAGAAUGGCUAAUACCGCAUAAGAUUUUUAAAUGAAAGGACGUAACUGUCCACCGAGGGAGGGGCCUGCGGCCCAUCAGCUUGUUGGUGAGGUAAUGGCUCACCAAGGCUAUGACGGGUAGGGGACGUGAGAGCGUGUUCCCCCAGAAUGGUACUGAGAACGGAC